UGGCUGACUCGCCGAACAGAGCUGACGAGGACGGGUGGAAACGAAAACCUGAUGAGCAGACGAGACAUCAGCGAGGAGCAGAAAAAUGAAACAAAAUUCAAUCUCAACAAAGUCCACAAAAACACACCAUGACAGAAACGGCGAAGGCGCGGGGCUGGCGUGCUGUUUUAUUCAUGUGGGAGGCCAUUAACGAUGGCAGACGGCAUUCAGCUCGCUCAGCGAGUCCGCUUCUCGCGGGUGGCGAGUAACAAAGUACAUAUUCGGUACUUGGGAAGUGGAUUUCGCAGGUUCAGGAGACAGUCUGCACUUCCUGUGUCCUCACGUCCAGCUCCGCCCACCACCUGGCGGACUUCCUACGAGGGGGCUGAAGUGCAAAACGAUUGACAGCACCACUCAUCGUGAACAUUUUUCAAUAUACUGUACGUGUUGAGAACAUCGGCCUCACAGUUCCGAGGACCAGGGUUCGAAUCCCAACUCCACCAAUGUGGACCACCGUCGACGGCCGGGAUAGGCUCCGGCACUCCGGCGACCCACGUGAGGAUAAGCGGCUAAGGAAAUGGAUGGGUAGGUAACCGCCCGCGCUCGUGUAACACAUCAGUUCUUCGUGUUUUCCCUCCUCAGCAUCUUUCGGAGCGGCGUUCAAACAUCAAGAUGGCGUCAUCAGGUCAGCCAGCGCGUGCGCGCGCAUUGUUGUUAAACUGGAGCAGCUUUGCGCCGAGGCGCGACGUUUGUGCUGACUUCAGCAGCGUCCGCGUUCAGCACAAGCAAAUUGUUCAAUUCCUGCGUGGGCGGCGUCUUUUCCUGACGCGCGCACCCUUUGCGGGCCCCCCCCGUCGCCCCGCAGCAGAUCGACGUGUCGGCUUUGCGGGGACAACGAGCCAACGAGCCCGACGCCGCUCGGCCGGUUUAGCGGAAUGUAGCGCCUCCGCGGGCGACAGGAAGCGCCUGUCAAAUGUCCGCGAAACGCACAAAUACACGCUACAGUGAUGCUUAGAUUAAUUAUCGUAAUAAUGCGGCCUCUUCGGAUGAAGACGGACAACUCCGUCCUGCUCUUCGGCUUCUCGACGUCACGCGGCUUGUGAGCUCGGCUCCCAGAACGGGAAACGGCGCAGAUGUUUCAAUGGCGCAGAUCAUCCGCCUCUUCGUCGUCACGUCUUCAAUACGCCACAGCUGUCUUUCCGAGGUGGUGCCAAGUAGCUAUGGCGUACCCCAGAGCACUCUUCUGGGACCAUUCCUUCUUCACGCACUUCACGAAAAUGAGAAGAUGCCAAGCCAAGUGCUCCGUUCGAUAGGGGGAAGACGCCGUUCCCAAGGCGGAAA